UAAAACAAAGCAUUGCGAUGGUCC
rnacentral:snRNA from 1 species